AAUAGAUGACGCCAUUAACUUUUUCUUACAUGUUUGAUCAUUCGUCUUAUUCAAAAAAAUUACGUAAUUAUAAUUUAUUUUGUUAUGAGUUGUUUUAUCACUCAUAUUACUUUAAAUUUGAUUUAUAUCUUAUAUAUUUGCAUAAAAUUUUUGAAUAAGACGAAUAGUCAAACAUGUGAGAAAAAAUCAACGGCGUCAUCUAUU
rnacentral:pre_miRNA from 1 species